AUGAACGCUGGCGGCGUGCCUAAUACAUGCAAGUCGAGCGAACAGACGAGGAGCUUGCUCCUUCGACGUUAGCGGCGGACGGGUGAGUAACACGUAGGUAACCUACCUAUAAGACUGGGAUAACUUCGGGAAACCGGAGCUAAUACCGGCUAAUAUUUCGAACCGCAUGGUUCGAUAGUGAAAGAUGGCCUUGCUAUCACUUAUAGAUGGACCUGCGCCGUAUUAGCUAGUUGGUAAGGUAACGGCUUACCAAGGCAACGAUACGUAGCCGACCUGAGGGGGUGAUCGGCCACACUGGAACUGAGACACGGUCCAGACUCCUACGGGAGGCAGCAGUAGGGAAUCUUCCGCAAUGGGCGAAAGCCUGACGGAGCAACGCCGCGUGAGUGAUGAAGGUCUUCGGAUCGUAAAACUCUGUUAUUAGGGAAGAACAAACGUGUAAGUAACUGUGCACGUCUUGACGGUACCUAAUCAGAAAGCCACGGCUAACUACGUG
rnacentral:rRNA from 1 species